UAUCCACGCCGUAAACGAUGGAUACUAGGUGUCCGGGAUAUUAACCUCCUGGGUACUACAGUUAACGCGUUAAGUAUCCCGCCUGGGGAGUACGGUCGCAAGGCUAAAACUCAAAGGAAUUGACGGGGGCCCGCACAAGCGGUGGAGUAUGUGGUUUAAUUCGAAGCAACGCGCAGAACCUUACCUACCCUUAACAUUUCACGACGUAUACAGAGAUGUAUAUUUCUCUUCGGAGACGUGAGGAUAGGUGCUGCAUGGCUGUCGUCGGCUCGUGUCGUGAGAUGUUGGGUUAAGUCCCGUAACGAGCGAAACCCUUAUCCUUAGUUGCCAGCGCGUAAUGGCGGGGACUCUAGGGAGACUGCCGGCGUUAAGCCGGAGGAAGGUGGGGACGACGUCAAGUCAUCAUGGCCCUUAUGGCCAGGGCUGCAAACGUCCUACAAUGGGCGGUACAAAGGGAAGCCAAGCCGCAAGGUGGAGCAAAUCCCAAAAAGCCGUCCCUAGUUCGGAUUGCGGGCUGCAAUUCGCCCGCAUGAAGUCGGAAUCGGU
rnacentral:rRNA from 1 species